rnacentral:lncRNA from 1 species
GCAUUGGGGUUGUGGCGCAGUUGGCCAGCGCGUUCGUUCCCUGUGGUCGAGAGUUCGAGCCUCUAUCAACCCAAAAUCGAACACAGUGGUGAUGAAAAUGCUCUCGUGACAACUUGGGUCGUCAUGCCAACUUCUGAUCUUGUAGAUGGCAAGAGCAACUCUGAGCUUUGUUCUAUUGCUCGCCGGAUUGGCUAGGUAAGAUAGUCGUAGUAUCCGCGAGUUUGCAGCCGGGCGGCAUAGCUG